rnacentral:tRNA from 3 species
GGGAGAAUAGCUCAAUUGGCAGAGCAACGGUCUCCAAAACCGUAGGCUGAGGGUUCGAGUCCCUCUUCUCCCGCCA